GGGCAUUGCCUUAGUAGCGGCGAGUGAAGCGGCAAAAGCUCAAAUUUGAAAUCUGGCACUUUCAGUGUCCGAGUUGUAAUUUGAAGAAGGUAUCUUUGGGUCUGGCUCUUGUCUAUGUUUCUUGGAACAGAACGUCACAGAGGGUGAGAAUCCCGUGCGAUGAGAUGUCCCAGACCUAUGUAAAGUUCCUUCGAAGAGUCGAGUUGUUUGGGAAUGCAGCUCUAAGUGGGUGGUAAAUUCCAUCUAAAGCUAAAUAUUGGCGAGAGACCGAUAGCGAACAAGUACAGUGAUGGAAAGAUGAAAAGAACUUUGAAAAGAGAGUGAAAAAGUACGUGAAAUUGUUGAAAGGGAAGGGCUUGAGAUCAGACUUGGUAUUUUGUAUGUUACUCUCUCGGGGGUGGCCUCUACAGUUUACCGGGCCAGCAUCAGUUUGAGCGGUAGGAUAAGUGCAAAGAAAUGUGGCACUGCUUCGGUAGUGUGUUAUAGUCUUUGUCGAUACUGCCAGCUUAGACUGAGGACUGCGGCUUCGGCCUAGGAUGUUGGCAUAAUGAUCUUAAGUCGCCCGUCUGAAACACCCGGCACACCA
rnacentral:rRNA from 1 species